GCGGGCGAGUGACGUGCGCUCUGGAGGCUGGCGAGGGGGCGCGGUGGCCCCGGAGCGGAGGGACGGCGAGGCCAGCCUUGGCAUCUGGAGUUGGGAGAGGGCCCUCGCGGUGGGCCUUUGACGUCGGUAGACUUUGGCGCCCGCAGAAAGGACAUUGUGUCUGAUGAAAUAAAGCAGGUAGAGUGUUUUGUAACCGGAAAGUGCCUUAGAAAAGACUUCUUAAUACAUUCUGGAUACGAGUUCUUGGUCAAAUAUACCCCACAGUGGUAGAGACCGCAUGAUGGUAUAUAACCAUCAGAGACAAGGUAGGCACAAUUACCAUAGUAAACCAAAGAAGACAGUGUUAACCAGAGUGUUUUGACCCACAGGGAGAAGUGAUAAUGGAUGGCUAAAUGAUCAUGAGGUCCCUAGAAAUGAAAGAGAUUAACCUAUUAAGGUGCUGCUUGACAUCUAUAUAGGUGGAAGAAUUCUGUAAUGUAAACCAACUUGUGUUGAAUUUGAAGCAUCCCAUCCAGUUCACAGACUUGGUACUUCUUGAUGAUGGGGAGAGAUUUGAUCCCUUUGAGGAAGAACCCUGCAAUGCAGCCACAGCAGUACAACCAUGAAUGAGUCCUAAUCCAGUGGUUCCCAACCUUGUCUGCACAUAAGAACACCUUAGAAUUCUAACGCCCACCCCAAGCCAAUUAACUCAACUUCUGGGACGAUACCUAGGCAUUUGUAUUUUUUACUCCCCAGGUAACUCCAGUGAGCAAAUUAGGGAAUCAGUGCCUUAAUUCUUCUCCAGUGGCCAUUUAUUGGUUAGAAUAGGGGGCCUAAGAAAGUCAAAUGACAGAUGGAGUCUUGGGCUGAGUCUGGCUAACACUGAGCCCAGAGAGACCCAUACUGAGGUUAGUUCUCCAGUCCCAGAUGUAUAGUAAGAAUAAAUAUAUUUUAAUAGCUGAAGCAACCUUCAUUUUGGUUUCCUGACCAAUGAAUGGAGUGAGUGUUAUGGUAGGAAGGACUACUUGGAAGUUCAGAACUGCUUGUCUACCACUCCCUCCCAAGACAGUGAAAGAAAUUAGCACCACCAUGCUGGCAUGAUGAUUCAUAUCCUAUUCCCAUUUUAAUUCCCUAUGUGGUCACCAGAUGGGUCAUAGAGAUGGUAGUGUAAAAAACAGAUGGAUAGUGAAGAAUGACAGUGGAUUAUUGCAAAGCUUAAUCAGGUGCGGGGGGAUGCCAGUUGUAGUUGUGGUAUCCAAGUGUGGUAUCUUCAUUGGAAGAAAUUAAUAUGGACUUUGACAUGAUAUACAGGUAUUGAUCUGGAAAUGUGCCUCGCCCCCACCCCUACCCCAUUCCAAUCAAUAAAGAAAAUCAGAAGCAGAUUGCAUUUAAACGGAAGGGACAACAGUAAAUCCUAACUGUCUUGUCUCAAAGCUAUGUCAACUUUACUGUUGUCUCUUAUAUGAAGGGACCUUGAUUAGCUCACUGUGCCAUAGGGUGUCACACUGGUCUAUUAUAGCAAAGAAAUUAUAUUAAAUGAACCUAGUGUACAAGGAGUAGCAAGCAUUCUGCAUAUUUUGGUAAGACAUAUGCAUGCCAGAAGAUGCAAGAUAAACCCUGCAAAACUUCCAGGACCUGCCGUAAGUUUCGAGAGCUGCAGUGGCCUAAGACACAUUAGGAUAUCCUUUCAGGUAAGUGAUGGGUCGUUGUGUUUUCUACCACUACCACAAAGGAAAAGGAGAAAAUGUGUAACAGGCCUUUCUGGGUUCUGGAGGCAACAAAAUAUAGGUUAGAGCAGGUCACCCUGCACCCUGCUGUUUCCUGGGUAACUAUAAGACUACUAGUUUUGAGUGGGGCCCAGAGCAAACUGUCUUGCCAGUUGGGCCUCAUGAUUGGGCAGAUCCAGUGGUAUUGGAAGUUCAUGUGGUAGAGAUGUUACAUGAAACCUUGGAUAUGCUCCAGUAGGACAAUUACAGCAUAGACCCUUUGGUUUUGGAAUAAGGAUGUAUCUUCCUCAGCAAACAGCAUUUAAUUUUGUUUCUUUGAACAUUUUGUUUUCAAAAAAAAAAAAAAAAACCAUUUUGUCUUGUUUAUUUGAAAAGCAGCUCCUGCUACCUGGUAGAGAUGGAACACCUAACCAUAGGACAUCAAAUGACCAUGUGAAUAAUAAAACCGCCCAUCGUGAACUGGUGUUAUCCGGUUCGCCAAAUCAUACAGCUGGAUGAGCACAGCAGCAGCCCAUCCCUGUGAGACUGGGCACACGGCCACAAGUCAACCAGAUGCAGAUGAGAGUAUAACUGAAUUGACACCACCCCAUGAUGACUUCGUAGCUGAUGGGAGGAGACUGUAUGGUGGAAAAGAGUGAGUUUCUUGAGACGUGAACUUCAUUUCUGAGAAGAGCUGUUCAUUUCACACACACAAAAAGUACCAAUAUAAUAUACUGAACUAUAUACCAUUGUUUAAAAGCACUGAUUUUUUAUGCACAUAGUCACACAUCGAUUAGGAAUGCAAGCCUCUAUUAACAAAUCCAGUGGGUAUUAAACACACACGUGAGAGUUCUAAAAGCUGAGGGAAAACAAUUAUACAACCAUAUGGAAAAUUGCCCCUACAAAUUCACGAUCUAUCUUAGGCCCUUAGUAAGGCUUUUUUUUCUUUUCUUUCAUUAGUUCUUCAGUUUCCAUCUUUAGUGAUUCCACUGUUACCUCCUUUUCACAUGCCCAACUCAUUGUCAUCGCACUGCCCUCCUUCCUAUUUUACCAGGUUGAGAACACUGAAUAUUAAUGGUCAACCUCCUGCCUCCUCCCACCUAAAAUUUAUCUUCAUUUUUUACCCAUUCUAAUUUUCUUCCCUCUAGUCCCCUAUAGGUUUACCAACCUUGUACAGAAUCAAAUACUUUCUGACCAACAGCCACAUCUUGUGAAGGAACUGGUUCCACCCAUUAAUCCCUCUCCUGUGUAUCUCAUCACCCUCAUGACUCUUGCUUGACCAUAAACAUCCUCAAAUCUCUCAUUCUAAAAAAAAUCCUCCUUUGAUCCUAAGUUCUCUAAGCUAAUACUCUAUCUUCCAGUUUUUUAAAUCAUAGCCAAGCUCUCCAUUUUUUUCUCUUUCGAUUCACUCCCCAACCUACUUUAACUGUGUCAACACCACUUCACUCAGUGACAGAUGACUCAGUGACAAAAUUUAGUUCACAAAUUUCUAAUCCCUAGUAUAUUUGAACUUUCUAUACCAUUUGACACUGGAUAUUUUGAGUAUGUGGUCAAAUAUUUUUUCAGAUGAAUAAAGUGGGAAUCAAUGGAGGAAAGGGAAGAAGUUACUCCCCAAUUCACGAGUACCCAAUGAAUUAUAAAUAGCUGUAGUCCCCAGAAUAAUGUCCUCCCCUUCUCCCUGCUGCCACCAAAGAUGUCCACACCUAGUCCGUGGAACCUGUGAAUAUGUUAUGUUACACAGCAAGGAGGAAUUAAAUUUGUAGAUGGAGUUCAGGUUGCUAAUCAUUUGGCCUUCAAGUGGGCAGAUUAUCCCUGUGGGCCCAAUAUAAUCACAAAGGUCGUUACAUAAGUGAGAGGAGGCAGAUGAGUGUGACAGAGUGCUAUGAUGUGACAAAGACUCAACCAGCCAUUGCUGGCUUUGAAGAUGGAAGAGGGUCAUAAGCCAAGGAAUGCUGGUGGCCUCUGGAAGCUGGAAAGGGCAAGAAAACAGAUUCUGCCCUAGAACUUCCAGAAAGGAGUGAACCUGGCUUAUACCUUGAUUUUAGACCAGUGAGAUACAUUUCAGAAUUCUGACCUCCAAAUCUGUAAGGUAACUGUGUUGUUUUA